ACGGCCAUACCAUGCUGAAUAUACCGGUUCUCAUUCGAUCACUGAAGUCCAGAAUCACCGGGCGCAGUCAGUACUUCGGAGGGUGUCCACAUGAGAACACCGCGUGCCGUUG